rnacentral:rRNA from 1 species
UACAGAGGUCUCAAGCGUUGUUCGGAUUCAUUGGGCGUAAAGGGUGUGUAGGUGGCGCGCUAAGUCGGGUGUGAAAUUUCGGAGCUUAACUCCGAAACUGCAUUCGAUACUGCCAUGCUUGAGGACUGGAGAGGAGACUGGAAUUUACGGUGUAGCGGUGAAAUGCGUAGAUAUCGUAAGGAAGACCAGUGGCGAAGGCGGGUCUCUGGACAGUUCCUGACGCUGAGGCACGAAGGUCAGGGGAGCAAACGGG